AGAUGAGGAUGAUGAUUUGAACUUGUUUCCCUAUUGGUUUGAUCGCCGGUAUGAUGGCGAAACUAUGUAUUAGCUCUAUCUGACUCAUCUUUUCUCCCCACAAUUCUUUCUUCUGUUUGUGAUUGAUAAAGUUUGGAAGUUGUUUCUGAGUGCUUGUGAUUUUUCUGGGUUUUGUGUUAGAGGAGGAUUGAGAAUGAGAUGAUGAUUUGAACUUUUUGGUUCCCUAUUGGUUUGAUUUGCCGCCAUGAUGGCAUCAAUGUAUUAGCUCUAUCUGAUCAUUC
rnacentral:lncRNA from 1 species